rnacentral:rRNA from 1 species
CAGCCGCCGCGGGAAUACGUAGGUCCCGAGCGUUAUCCGGAUUUAUUGGGCGUAAAGCGAGCGCAGGCGGUUAGAUAAGUCUGAAGUUAAAGGCUGUGGCUUAACCAUAGUACGCUUUGGAAACUGUUUAACUUGAGUGCAGAAGGGGAGAGUGGAAUUCCAUGUGUAGCGGUGAAAUGCGUAGAUAUAUGGAGGAACACCGGUGGCGAAAGCGGCUCUCUGGUCUGUAACUGACGCUGAGGCUCGAAAGCGUGGGGAGCAAACAGGAUUAGAUACCCCCGUAGUCCCUGUCUCUUAUACA